GAGGUGGAGCAAAUCUCAAAAAGACCGUCCCAGUUCGGAUCGCAGGCUGCAACCCGCCUGCGUGAAGUUGGAAUCGCUAGUAAUCGCGGAUCAGCAUGCCGCGGUGAAUACGUUCCCGGGCCUUGUACACACCGCCCGUCACACCAUGAGAGUCGGGAACACCCGAAGUCCGUAGCCUAACCGCAAGGGGGGCGCGGCCGAAGGUGGGUUCGAUAAUUGGGGUGAAGUCGUAACAAGGUACC
rnacentral:rRNA from 1 species